rnacentral:sRNA from 1 species
AGGAUGAGAAGCUUCGACUAAGGUUCGAUUCGAGCGCAGCGAGAAAGCGUUGCCGCAGGCAACGACCCGAAGCGGCAUAUGUCUCGCUAAGUUGAUCU